UACGUAGGGUGCGAGCGUUGUCCGGAAUUAUUGGGCGUAAAGAGCUCGUAGGCGGUGUGUCACGUCGGCCGUGAGAACCUGCAGCUUAACUGUGGGCGUGCGGUCGAUACGGGCAUCACUGGAGUUCGGCAGGGGAGACUGGAAUUCCUGGUGUAGCGGUGAAAUGCGCAGAUAUCAGGAGGAACACCAACAGCGAAGGCAGCACUCUGGGCCGGUACUGACGCUGAGGAGCGAAAGCAUGGGGAGCGAACAGG
rnacentral:rRNA from 1 species